UCUUCAGCAAACACAACCAGGAAGAAGAGCGUGGUUCCUGAUAGCCUACCUACCAGGGAGUGCAGGGAAGAACGUUCAAGCUGCCGGAAGACUGAGCAUAGCAGUCACCCAUGUACAAAAGGGCCAAGAGAAUAAUUAUGAGCUUCAGUAACGAGAAAUAGGAGAGGAGAUAAAAGGAAAAGAGGGACCAAUGAGAAACCUCAGCACCUCUGUUUACUUCCGGGUUCAAGGCUGGCAGUCUCUGAGACGAAAGCCCAACUCCAAACUUCGCCUUAAUGACAGCUGUUCCGUUAUCCCAAGAAAGACUCCACCGACAGAAUUUCAAGCAACCCUGGCCCAGGGUGUCUCUUGCUGGAAUCUGUCCCCUUGAACCCCUACCAUAUCCUUCCAGAUCCACCUCAGUUAUAGGCUGUCUGUCAGAGGUCUUCCGACAACUCCCACCUUCCCACCAAGCCUUCCUCUCUCUGCGGAAUGUGAUUUUGGGGAGUAAUCAUAAUAAAGAGAAUUGCCCUCCCGGU